CGUCCGAGUGGUAGAGCGUGUGCUAAGUGUGCACGAGAACCACCGUGGAAGAAAGUGCAGCUAGAUACGAGAUACGACUGCAUUAAAAUCAGGAGCUUGCUCAUCAAAAGACACUACGAGGAAAGAAAACAAGCAAGUGACACUGAAACAGAAGAUACUUGUAAUGUAGCUAACCAACCAUCAUCGUCAUCACCAUCAUCACUGUCAUCACCAUCAUCAUCGCUGUCACCAUCAUCACUGUCACCAUCAUCAUCGUCAUCAUCACCAUCAUCACUGUCACCAUCAUCAUUGUUGUCACCAUCAUCAUCAUCAUCGUCACCAUCAUCAUCGUCGUCACCAUCAUUGUCAUUGUCACUAUCAUCGCUGUCACCGUCAUCAUCAUCAUCACCAUCAUCGCUGUCACCAUCAUCAUCGUCAUCAACAUCAUUGUCACCAUCAUCAUUGUCAUCACCAUCAUCAUUGUCAUUGUCACCAUCAUCACUGUCACCAUCAUCGCUGUCAUCACCAUCACCGCUGUCACCACCAUCAUCGCUGUCACCACCAUCAUUGUUGUCACCAUCGCCAUCACCAUCAUCAUCAUUGUUAUCAUCAUCAUCAUCAUCACCAUCAUGGGUGUCACCAUCAUUGUCAUUGUCACCAUCAUCGCUGUCACCAUCAUCAUUGUCACCAUCAGUGCUAUCACCAUCAUCAUUGUCAUCAUCACCAUCAUCAUCAUCACCAUCAUCGCUGUCACCACCAUCAUCGUCAUCACCAUUCGCCAUCAUUGUCAUCAUCAUCGUCAUCAUUGACGACAACAUCAUUGUCACCAUCAUUGUCACCAUCAUCGUCAUCAUCACCAUCAUUGUCACCAUCAUCGUCAUCGUCACCAUCAUCGCUGUCACCAUCAUCAAUGUCACCACCAUCAUCAUCGUCACCAUCAUAACUGUUACCAUCAUCACUGUCACCAUCAUUGCUGUCACCAUCAUAACUGUCACCAUCAUCAUCGUCACCAUCAUCGUCAUCAUCAUCAUCAUUGUCACCAUCAUCAUUGUCAUCAUCACCAUCAUUGCUGUCACCAUCAUCAUCGUCACCAUCAUCGUCAUCAUCACCAUCAUCAUCAUCGUCACCAUCAUCAUUGUCGUCACCAUCAUCAUCAUCAAAAGGAAACAGGUGAUCCAAAAGACCAAUGUGCAAACAUCUGAGCCAGCAUUUCACAAGCACGCCCACUUGGCCAACGAAAGCUUGGCCUGGUAA
rnacentral:lncRNA from 1 species